rnacentral:rRNA from 1 species
UACGGAGGAUGCGAGCGUUAUCCGGAUUUAUUGGGUUUAAAGGGUGCGUAGGCGGAGCGUUAAGUCAGUGGUCAAAUUGAGGGGCUCAACCCCUUCCCGCCAUUGAAACUGGCGCUCUUGAGUGGAAGAGAAGUAUGCGGAAUGCGUGGUGUAGCGGUGAAAUGCAUAGAUAUCACGCAGAACCCCGAUUGCGAAGGCAGCAUGCCGGCUUCCUACUGACGCUGAAGCACGAAAGCGUGGGGAUCGAACAGG